AACCCUAUUCCCUACAUAGUACACUACUUUAGAGCCGUCUAUAGGGAACAAGGUGCCAUUUGGGACACAGCCCAGGUCUACCAACUACGUCAUCCCAGGUCUACUAACUACUCUACGUCAUCCCAGGUCUACUAACUACUCUACGUCAUCCCAGGUCUACUAACUACUCUACGUCAUCC